GAUGGCCUAAUGGUUAGAGUGUCCGCUUUGGAUUCGGGAGGUCGUGUGUUCGAACCCCGUCAAGUCA